rnacentral:rRNA from 1 species
CUGCAGCCCGAGUGGUGAUCGAUUUUAUUGAGCCUAAAUCGUCCGUAGCCGGACUAGUAAACCCUUGGGUAAAUUGGGCAGCUUAACGGUCCAAAUUCCGAGGGGACUGCUAGUCUUGGGACCGGGAGAGGUCAGAGGUACUCAAGGGGUAGGGGCUAAAUCCUGUAAUCCUUUGGGGACCACCAGUGGCGAAGGCGUCUGACUAGAACGGAUCCGACGGUAAGGGACGAAACCCUGGGGCGCGAACCGGAUUAGAUACCCGCGUAGUCC